rnacentral:tRNA from 1 species
GAGGGUAUAGCUCAAGUGGCAGAGUGUCUGCUUAGUACACACGAGGUCCUGGGUUCAAUCCCCAGUACCACCU